GCCAGGUAUGGUGGUGUGUGCCUGUAGUCCCAGCUACUUGGGAGGCUGAGGUGGGAGGAUGACUUCAGUCCAGGAGGUGGAGGUUGCAGUGAGCCAAGAUUACACAACUGUACUCCAGUCUGGGCGACAGAGCCAGAUCCUGUCUUUCUUUCUUUUUUUUUUUGAGACGGAGUCUUGCUCUGUCACCCAGGCUGGAGUGCAGUGGCACAAUCUUGGCUCACUGCAACCUCCACGUCCCGGGUUCAAGAGAUUCUCCCACCUCAG
rnacentral:SRP_RNA from 1 species